rnacentral:rRNA from 1 species
UUAAAUUGAAGAGUUUGAUCAUGGCUCAGAUUGAACGCUGGCGGCAGGCCUAACACAUGCAAGUCGAACGGUAACAGGAAGAAGCUUGCUUCUUUGCUGACGAGUGGCGGACGGGUGAGUAAUGUCUGGGAAACUGCCUGAUGGAGGGGGAUAACUACUGGAAACGGUAGCUAAUACCGCAUAACGUCGCAAGACCAAAGAGGGGGACCUUCGGGCCUCUUGCCAUCGGAUGUGCCCAGAUGGGAUUAGCUAGUAGGUGGGGUAACGGCUCACCUAGGCGACGAUCCCUAGCUGGUCUGAGAGGAUGAC